rnacentral:rRNA from 1 species
GAUGAACGCUGGCGGCGUGCCUAAUACAUGCAAGUCGAGCGAACGGACGAGAAGCUUGCUUCUCUGAUGUUAGCGGCGGACGGGUGAGUAACACGUGGAUAACCUACCUAUAAGACUGGGAUAACUUCGGGAAACCGGAGCUAAUACCGGAUGAUAUUUUGAACCGCAUGGUUCAAAAGUGAAAGACGGUCUUGCUGUCACUUAUAGAUGGAUCCGCGCUGCAUUAGCUAGUUGGUAAGGUAACGGCUUACCAAGGCAACGAUGCAUAGCCGACCUGAGAGGGUGAUCGGCCACACUGGAACUGAGACACGGUCCAGACUCCUACGGGAGGCAGCAGUAGGGAAUCUUGCGCAAUGGGCGAAAGCCUGACGGAGCAACGCCGCGUGAGUGAUGAAGGUCUUCGGAUCGUAAAACUCUGUUAUUAGGGAAGAACAUAGGUGUAAGUAACUGUGCACAUCUUGACGGUACCUAAUCAGAAAGCCACGGCUAACUACGUG